AUUGAACGCUGGCGGCAGGCCUAACACAUGCAAGUCGAACGGAGCGGCGGUCGGGUGAGUAAUACCUAGGAAUCUGACUGGUAGUGGGGGAUAACGUCCGGAACCGGGCGCUAUUGCCGAUUACUCUUGGCUGCGCAUAGGUCGGAUUGGCUAGUUGGUGGGGUAAAGGCCUACCAGGGCGACGAUCCGUAUCUGGUCUGAGAGGAUGAUCAGUCACACUGGAACUGAGACACGGUCCAGACUCCUACGUGAGGCAGCAGUGGGGAAUAUUGGACAAUGGGCGCAAGCCGGAUGCAGCCAUGCCGCGUGUGUGAAGAAGGUCUUCGGGUUGUAAAGUACUUUCAGUGGGGAGGCGUUACCCGCAGAAUAAGCACCGGCUAACUCCGUGCCAGCAGCCGCGGUAAUAC
rnacentral:rRNA from 1 species